rnacentral:rRNA from 1 species
GAUUUAUUGGGUUUAAAGGGUGCGUAGGCGGCCUGUUAAGUCAGCGGUGAAAUCUAGGAGCUUAACUCCUAAAUUGCCAUUGAUACUGGCGGGCUUGAGUGUAGAUGAGGUAGGCGGAAUGCGUGGUGUAGCGGUGGAAUGCAUAGAUAUCACGCAGAACUCCGAUUGCGAAGGCAGCUUACUAAGGUACAACUGACGCUGAAGCACGAAAGCGUGGGUAUCAAACAGGAUUAGAUACCCUGGUAGUCCACGCAGUAAACGAUGAUAACUGGGCGUAUGCGAUAUACAGUAUGCUCCUAAGCGAAAGCGUUAAGUUAUCCACCUGGGGAGUACGCCGGCAACGGUGAAACUCAAAGGAAUUGACGGGGGCCCGCACAAGCGGAGGAACAUGUGGUUUAAUUCGAUGAUACGCGAGGAACCUUACCCGGGAUUGAA